UUCAAACACCGGUUCUCGUCCGAUCACCGAAGUUAAGCAAAGUAAAGCAAUGUCGAACCUGGUCAGUACCUAGAUCGGUGACCACUUGGGAAUAGUGGU